UACGUAGGGGGCAAGCGUUGCUCGGAAUCACUGGGCGUAAAGCGCACGUAGGCGGCUUUCUAAGUCAGGGGUGAAAUCCUGGAGCUCAACUCCAGAACUGCCUUUGAUACUGGAGAGCUUGAGUCCGGAAGAGGUGAGUGGAACUCCGAGUGUAGAGGUGAAAUUCGUAGAUAUUCGCAAGAACACCAGUGGCGAAGGCGGCUCACUGGCCCGAUACUGACGCUGAGGUGCGAAAGCGUGGGGAGCAAACAGG
rnacentral:rRNA from 1 species